UGGCCUUGACAUACUAAGAACUUUCCAGAGAUGGAUUGGUGCCUUCGGGAACUUAGAUACAGGUGCUGCAUGGCUGUCGUCAGCUCGUGUCGUGAGAUGUUGGGUUAAGUCCGCAACGAGCGCAACCCUUUUCCUUAUUUGCCAGCGGGUAAUGCCGGGAACUUUAAGGAUACUGCCAGUGACAAACUGGAGGAAGGCGGGGACGACGUCAAGUCAUCAUGGCCCUUACGGCCAGGGCUACACACGUGCUACAAUGGUCGGUACAAAGGGUUGCUACCUCGCGAGAGGAUGCUAAUCUCAAAAAGCCGAUCGUAGUCCGGAUCGCAGUCUGCAACUCGACUGCGUGAAGUCGGAAUCGCUAGUAAUCGCGGAUCAGAAUGCCGCGGUGAAUACGUUCCCGGGCCUUGUACACACCGCCCGUCAUACCAUGGGAGUUUGUUGCACCAGAAGUAGGUAGUCUAACCGCAAGGAGGACGCUUACCACGGUGUGGCCGAUGACUGGGGUGAAGUCGUAACAAGGUAGGCGUAGAUGA
rnacentral:rRNA from 1 species